rnacentral:lncRNA from 1 species
GGCAACAGAAGCAAGAGCAAGGUUGGUGGGGGCCAGGUGGAGUCAUGGGUAUCAGACCUGCAAAAAACCUGGGAAAAUGUCUCAAAAGGCCAGUCUACAAUAGUGAUGUUAUCUGUAGGACAGAUCUUGUGACCAGUCUAUGCCUUAGCAGAAUUCCUGCCCUUCUCCUAGCCUGAUGGCCUUUCAUUAGCUUUACAAAGGCUCCCGAUAAAUGCUUUCUGGAAGGUGCCAGUGAAAGACAUUUGGAAUUUAACAGAGACAGCAACAGCAGGUUCGGGGCUUAUCUCGGGCUGCAUUGUAGAUCAAUCCUGGGCACAGUGGAAGGAACACUGUUACAAAAGAGCCAUUUCUAAGAAGGCUUCACUUCAAAGGAGAUCACCCACAGCAGAGGAGCUGAUGCAGAGCUGAAUAAAUAAUGAAAAAUACAAUAAAGAUCAAAUCUGAUAGGGAUUUGAAUUAUAUGCCAGGAAAAUAUUUU